AUAUUGCACAAUGGGGGGAACCCUGAUGCAGCGACGCCGCGUGAGCGAAGAAGUAUUUCGGUAUGUAAAGCUCUAUCAGCAGGGAAGAAAAUGACGGUACCUGAGUAAGAAGCCCCGGCUAAAUACGUGCCAGCAGCCGCGGUAAUACGUAUGGGGCAAGCGUUAUCCGGAGUUACUGGGUGUAAAGGGAGCGUAGGCGGCCUGGCAAGUCUGAUGUGAAAUACCGGGGCCCAACCCCGGGGCUGCAUUGGAAACUGUCAGGCUGGAGUGUCGGAGAGGCAGGCGGAAUUCCUAGUGUAGCGGUGAAAUGCGUAGAUAUUAGGAGGAACACCAGUGGCGAAGGCGGCCUGCUGGACGAUGACUGACGCUGAGGCUCGAAAGCGUGGGGAGCAAACAGG
rnacentral:rRNA from 1 species